CUGGGCUACAGUGAUCCUCUUCUGUCAGCCUCCUGAGUAGCUGGGACCACAGGUGCACGCCAACAUGCCGGGAUCAUUUUUUUUUUUUUUUUUUUUUUUACAAUAGGCCUUCAGCUGGAUUCAUUUAUUUUGAAAUGGUGGACAACCGCAGCUGCAGACCUCAAUCUAUGGUACAUAUCAAGCAAUGCAACUUUUUCUUGUCAUGUCAUGACUUUUGUCUGCUUCUUGGGAGCACUUCCACCAUCAUUAGUAGCACUUGAUAUGGGUCCCAUGAUAUUAUUCAAAUUAUUUACUGUAUUGUGCUAAACAUGAUGGAAAAUAUGGAACUGCUAGAGAACACUUUUUACUGUGAUACACAAUUGACUGGAGAGAUGAACUGCUCAUUUGAAGAUGAUUAGCGUCACGUGGCAUUUUAAGUGAAUACUCCCAACCCUUGAGCUCAUCACAAUGGCAACAGAAGGUGGCUACAAAAUUAUCAGUCGUACAGUAUGUACUACAGUUAAUUUUAUACAGUUAUGAUUUCAUACUGCAUCUUUAUCUCUGUUUACAUUUCUCUGGACUGUGAAUGGCGUCACGUAGUCUGUGUGCAAAUUGUUUUGAUAAAUUAUAAUUAAAAAAAACUUGUGUAUAUUUUAUGGUAGUAAAUGAUAAAAUGC
rnacentral:lncRNA from 1 species